UACGUAGGUGGCAAGCAUUGCUCGGAUUUAUUGGGCGUAAAGCGCGUGUAGGUGUCUUUGCAAGUUUUCUAUUAAAUAUCCCUGCUCAACAGGGAGAGUGUAGAAAAUACUACAAGGAUUGAGAAAAGUAGAGGUAAGCGGAACUUGUGGAGUAGGAGUGAAAUCCGUUGAUAUCACAAGGAACACCAAUGGCGAAAGCAGCUUACUGGGCUUAUUCUGACACUAAGACGCGAAAGCGUGGGUAG
rnacentral:rRNA from 1 species